rnacentral:rRNA from 1 species
UACGUAGGGUGCGAGCGUUUAAUCGGAAUUACUGGGCGUAAAGCGUGCGCAGGCGGUUCGUUGUGUCGGCGGUGAAAGCCCCCGGGCUCAACCUGGGAAUGGCCGUUGAAACUGGCGAACUGGGGGUGUGGCAGAGGGGGGGUGGAAUUCCGCGUGUAGCAGUGAAAUGCGUAGAGAUGCGGAGGAACACCGAUGGCGAAGGCAGCCCCCCUGGGGCUGACACUGACGCUCAGGCACGAAAGCGUGGGGGAGCAAACAGG